UCCAUUGUCGUAAUGGAGCUCCAAAAGGAUUCUUUGCAACUCAGAAGGGCUUGAGGCAAGGGAGUCCUCUAUCACCAUUUUUGUUCAUUGUUUUGAUAGAUGGAUUGAGUAGUAUGUUAUCAUCUGGACAACAAAGACUAUUUCUUUCUCAAAAAUAAAAUACAAUAAAGGGUUUCAGUGCAUCGUAAUGUCUCAGGGUGAAGCUUCAUCUCACUCAUCAAAUUUAUGCUGACAACUUCCUAAUUUCUUGUAAACCUGAUUGAGAUCAGAUUCUACAUCUCAAAAUGAUACUUUUGUUCUUUGAAGCAGUGUUCUGGUUUCAUAUAAUUUAUGCUAAGAGUGUACUAUAUCAUAUGAAUGAAAUAUCUCACCUAUAUAAACUUGAAGAAACUUUGGGAUGCAAUGUAGGACCAUUCCUAAUAAAAUAUUGGGGCCUUUCUCUUGUAGUUAAAGCAAAAGCCACAUCAAUUUGGGAUGAUAUCUUGGAUAAAUGUGAGAAAAAGUUGUUCGGAGUGAAAGUAACUCUUGCUUGGUGGAAGGUUAUUUCAAAUUAAUAGUAUGCUAUAUUCAUUGCCUACUUACACUAUAUUCUUUUUGAACUGGUAAAUUAAAUUUCUCAGCAUUAAAAGUAUGCUGGAAAUGAGUAGACUGCUUUUCUUAGUUAGAGAAUAGAAUUGAUAAGAAAAAACUUUUUGUGGGCUUUGCUGCUCUCCCAGGAAAGAUCAGAAGGUCAAAAGUGGACCCUCCAGUUGUUGGCUCCAUGCUGAUUGCUGGAAGCAAUGGCUUUGGCCAUAACAUAAAGAUCAUGUCUCACCUCUGAAACGUUACAAAGUUCCAAAUAUAAAAUUAAGUAGAGUAUCAAAGUUUUUGUUUACUUACGAUGUGUAGGUGAACUUUAAAUACAAGCAAAGAUUAACAAUAACUCCUAUAUUACAAGAGGAGUAUUCCUAACUCUAAAUAACAAAUGUGUAAUCCUAAUCAUAUGAGUUAUAGGUAACUAACUACUAGUUAUGCACAAUUACAUGUGCCGUAACAAUACUACUGAAUAUGCACAAUCACAGGGUAUUGGAGUUAUGCACCAAUACGCCCCCUCAAGAUAGGCAAUGUGUAGCAACGCCUUGCUUGAAUAGGUGUUUAUCAAAGGCUGGAUUUGGUAGAGCUUUAGUUAGAGUAUUCGCGAAUUGAUCUGCAGCAUGAAUAUGAACAAUGUGAACUUGAUUCUGCUGGACUUGUUUGUGAACAAAGUGAAAGUCUACAACAAUGGGCUUCAUGUGGCUAUGAAAAACUGGAUUUGCACACAAAUAAGUUGCACUAACAUUGUCACAAUAAAUGGUUGGUGUUUGAGGAAGUGAAACAUGCAGUUCUUUUAGAAAAUUUGUCACCCAGUUGGUUUCAUCCAGUGCACUUGCAAUGACACAAUACUCUACUUCAAUUAAUGAGUGAGCAAUUAUUCUUUGUUUCCUAGAAGACCAGCUCACGGGAUUUUUACCAAAAAAAUAUGUAACUAGUAGUGGAAGCUCGAUCAUUCAUAUAUCCAUCCCAAUCUGUGUCAGAGUACAUGUGUAGCUUAAAAUCACUACCUCUUUGAAUGUGAUGAGCAAACUGAAGCGUUCCUUAGAGAUACCUGAGUACUCAUUUGAGUGUUUUCCAGUGCACUUCAGAUGGAGAGUGCAUAAAUUGCGAUAAUUUAUUCACAGAGAAGCUAAUGUCUGGACGAUUAAAAGACAAUUACUGUAGUUUUCUAAGAACUCUCCUGUAGCGAGUGGCAUUAGUUGGUUCCACUCCAUCAUGGAGUUGAGAAACUUCAAUGGCAGUCAUUGGGUUUUCGCUGAAUUACAGUUGUUUAUGUUUCUGCCAAAGAGGAUUUCAUUGAUGUAUUUAGACUGUUAUAAAUUGAUUCCUUUGGCAGUUCAUAGCACCUCUACUCCAAGAAAGAAAUUUAGAUUCCCAAGAUUCUUAAUGGAAAAACGCCCAACAAGACAAGUAAUAACAUGAUUUACCUAUGAAUUAUGGUUCCCUGUGAUGAUGAUAUCAUCCACAUAAACCAGUAUAUAUAAAAUAACGUUCGAAACUUUACAAAUGAAGAGUGAGGCAUCAGAUUCUGACUUAACAAAUCCUAGAUAAAGAAUAAAUAUCUUAAGUUCAUUAUACAACGUACAAGGAGCUUGAUUGAGGCCAUAUAUUGCUUUUUUUAGAUGACAUAUGUGGGAGGGGAACUGCUCGUCUGCAAAACCCAGAGGCUAGACCAAGUACACUUCUUCUAGACGGCCUUGCAAGAACACAUUGUUGACAUCAAGCUGGCGUAGAGGCCAAUUCCACUGGACAAAAUCGAGAGCACCAAGAGCAUAGUUGUUGGUUUGACGAUCGAACUAAAUGUGACAUGAUAGUUAACACCAGGACAUUGUGUAAAUCCCUUUAUAAUAAGUCGAGCCUUGUAGCAAUCAAUUAUCCCAUCAGCUUUCCUUUUUAACCUGCAUAACCAUUUGUAAGAGACAAUGUUUUUUUUGUGGGGUCAUGUGGUGCUAAAUCCCAUUUUUGGUUAUUAAAUAAUGCAUCAAAUUCAUUUUUAUUACUUUUUUCCACUCUGGGUGUUUCCUUACUUAUUUGACGUUGGUAGGGGUGAUGGGGGGAUAAGUGAGCCAUAAAGUGAAGAAUGGUUUUUAGUUGUAAAUAUUAUGUUAUGAAUGAGUCACAACACGAUUUGGAGUAGGAAGAAAAGGUUGUUGAAGUUUUGUGGAUUGAGCAGGUUCGGAGAAAGGUUAUAGCAAAAUUGAGGUAGAGGGACGGGCAGUGGAACUUUUGUUAACAGAUGACAUUGUUUUGUUUCUGCGACUAUAUAUACAAAUAGAAAAGAUGAUGAUUUAGGCAAUGAGAGAUAAGAGUGGGUGUCAUUGAGAUCAGUAGAAAUAACACAAUUUGUAGGAAGAGGACGAUAAGAAGUACCUGAACUUGCAAUUUUUAUUAGAGCAUAGGCAGAGAAAACGGUGUCUUUGAGAGCGUUGUUGUUAUCUGAACAUGGGAUAAGUAUGUGGCUGAGUAAUUCGCUGCUUAUGGGAAAAGAAAAAUAGGGAAUGUUUUUGGGGUAGUGUCAGUUGGGUUUUCCCACGCAAGUGUUUUACAAGAAGAAAUAUUUGAAUUUUCAAAAAAAUUCACAUCACAAGAUACAUAUAUUUUUGAAGAUUUCGGAUCAAAAUAUUAGUGACAAUGAUGAACUAAUGAAACUCAUACAUAUACACAUGGUGUUGAUCGUGGCUCUAAUUUAUUUUUUGAAUAAGGUUUGAGCCAGGGAUAACAGAGACACCCAAAUUUUUUCAAAGAAUUGUAAUUCGUAUCUUGACCAAACAACAUUUGAAAAGGUGAUAUAUUUUGCAAAAGUGAGGUUGUCAAGCAAUUUAUCAUAUAACCACAUGUUAACAAGCCAAAGACCAAAGAGUCGAUAGAAGUGAAGCAUCAUGAAGUAAAGGUUUUCUCAUCUCAAUAAUAUUUCUAUGAUGUCUUUUCGCAAGAGCAACUCUUUAGGGUGUGUAUGGAGGAGAUAAAAGAUGUUCAAUACCCUGAGAUCUUAGGUAUGGAUCAAGACUUUUAUAUUUAUCCCCACGAUUUAUAUAGAUAGAAAGAACUUUUAUGUUAAAAUAACAUUCAAUUAAUACUUGUAAGUUUUUGAAAAAGUCAGUAACCUCACUUUUAUUUUUUAAUUUGUAAAGCCAGGUGUAUCAGGUAUACGGAUCCACAAAAAUACAGUAGUAUAAUCUUUUGUCAAUAGAUUGAAUUGGAAAAGGACCCCAUAAAUCACUAAAUAUUAUUUGAAAUGAUUUGGUACUUGAUAACCUAAAAUAUUUAAAAGGAUGGCGAUGAGCCUUAUUCAAGGAACAAUAAACUUUUUCUCGCGAUCACGGUAGCGAGAAUUUAUUCAAAAGAAAAUUUAAAACUCUUCCAUUUGAAUGACCCAACUGAUCAUGCCAAGUAGAAAUGGAUGUGCUGUUGGAGGUCAAAUGCACUUGAGGAGAAGACAUGGAGGGUAAAUUUGGCCACUCAUAGAGACCAUCCUUAUUCUAACCAUGCACCAAUGGAGUCCGCAUUGCCAAGGCCUUUACAAAAAAUAAAAAGGAAAGAAUUCAAUAGAGGUUAGGUUAUCUUGACAAAAUUUAGAGACAGAGAGUAAAGAGCAUAGAGAGUGUCAGAUAGCUUGGAAGAUUUAUUUAAAGCAUUGAAUUGAGUUGAACUAAUAUGAGUUAUUGGUAUUUUGUUACCAUGACCCAUGGAGAACUACUCCAUCCCAUUAUAUGGUUGCAAAUUUUGAGGUUCGGCAGUGAUGUGAUGAGAUGCCCCAGUGUCAAGAAUCUAAGUAUUUUCUAAUGCACAUAACCCUGAAACAUAAUUGGCCUUUGCCUUAAAAUGAUUAUGAGAUUUUGAUCGAUAAGUACUUGCAAUAUGACCUGGUUUGUUGCACAACUGAUAGCAAACACCAUCAGAAGAGUUGUUAGUGGUCAAAGUUCGCCUUUGAUUGGGUAAAGCAAAGUGAUUGUUGGACCGUCACUGGUGGUUAUUUCUAUUGUUAUUGUUCGGUCGGCGAUUGGUGCGAUUUUUCGAAAUACCAGACUUGUUGGAGGUAGCAGCAACAAUAGUAAUCUAAUUGGCAAUUUUUUUUUGACUCUUUAUGUCGAAGGAAAAGCUCAUUAUUCAGAAGCUUUUUGUAAAGUUCUUUAUAAGUAAUCGUAGAGUCACGAGCAUGGAUGGCAGUAGAAAUCUCACAAAACUUUGUACCCAUACCACUCAAGAUCUUGACAACAAGUUUAGAGUUGGAGAUCGGGGCACCAAUAGUAGAGAUUUCAUCGAAAAUAGAUCAAGUAGUUUGUAAAUAUUCAAUGACUGGUUGAGAGUCUCUGGUCAGAUGCAUAAGUCGAUCACGCAGACUGAAAAUUCUGGUUUGGGACAUGUUCGCAUAGGCGAUGUGCAGUGCAUCCCAGACUGUCUUUGCUAAGGUAGUUGACGCAAUAGUUGUGGCAAUUAUUGGAUCAACAUAUGCCAUAAGUGUGUUUUGAAUGAGUUGGUCUUGUCGAAACCAAAGAGUAAAUGCAGAAUUGGCACUAGGGACUAUGCCAGUUGUUAUAGUCCUAGGUAGGGAAGGUGUAGACCCAUCGAGAUGACCAUAGAGGUCAUGACCAUUAAUAAGCAUGGAAACUUGUGCUUUCCACAUUGCAAAAUUAUGGCUGCCAAGUAAUGUUAUAGGAAAUUGGAAUGCAGGGUUAAAUUGAACAAUCACCGGGCCGACGUUGUCAGCAUUAACAACUCGAGGUGUGUCUGCCAUCUGUGAAGGGUGGGUGGAAGAGGAAAAAAAUAUUACUCUUUAGAGUGUAUUGAGGCUCCUGAUACCAUAUAAAAGUAAGUAGAGUAUAAAAGUUAUUGUUUAUUAAUGAUGUGCAGAGGCACUUUAAAUACAAGCAAAGAUUAGCAAUAACUCAUAUAUUACAGAAGGAGUAUUCCUAGUGGACUCUAAAUAGCAAUCGUGUAACCCUAAUCAUAUGAGUUGUAGGUAACUAACUACUGGAUAUGCACAACUACACGUAUAGUAACAAUACUACUAAAUAUGUGUAAUUACAGGAUGUUGGAGCUAUGUGCCAAUAGCUAACAAAUCUACAAAUUUAUCUAUAUCCUCUAUAAACUGUUGUUUGCACCAAAAAUAUAGAGAUAUAGUGCAUUUCUAUUCAACUUUUUGAAUUGAAUUGGAUAUGUUUUCAAAGAAUUUCCAAUUCUCUUUCCACACAGUCCACCAAAUACAAUAUAUCUCUUUUGGAUUUUUUUCCUCCCCUUCUGACCCAACAACUUGAUAAAUGUUCAAGCAUGAUUCACCUAGUGUUGGUGGGGUUGAGGAAAACUGUCCACAUUUGAGUAUUGAAGUUGCAUUGUAGGAUUAAAUGCUUAUUUGUUUACUCUAUUUUGUUACAGAGAACACGCCUUGACACCAGUUGCAUUUCUUUCUUUCAUAGCACUUCCUGUGUAAGACAAGAUCUGUUUACCACCAGCUAUGUGAAACAUUUCACCUUGGUAAGAGAAAGGCUUUGUUAGAUAUAGCAUUUCACCUAUAUGGUUUUUGAAAUGGCUUAUUUUAAGUGCUUUUAGAUUUUAAAAUCUUUUUUAAUGUAUAGUGGUGUUUGGAAAAGCUAAUAGGGGCUUUUAGGCACUUAGUGUUCGGUCAAAAAGUGUAAAAAUAAGCUAAAAUCCAAAAGUUGGAUAUUUCUAAUUUAUGCCUUUUAGCUUAUAACUUAUUAAGCUACUUACCCUCGUACUUAUACUAUGUACCUAUUUCCCUUACCUAUUCUAGUAGUUAAAAAAUAGGAUAAACUCUGAAGGGACUUCUUGUGGCAAGGGAAUAGAGAGCAUAGAACUUUUAACUUGGUAAGAUGAAGUCAUUACUAAUAGGAGAGUAGUGGACCUUGGAGAUUUAUCAUCUAAGGCUUCCAGAUUACUGCACAAAUGGCUUUAGAGGUUUAUCGGGAGGAGGUGGCAUUAUGAAGAACAAUUAUUGCAGUAAAAUAUGGGAGCCUUAACUCAUGGACCACCAACCAAUUGUAUUAUCAUGGUCCCUAUGGUCGCUGGAUACACAUUAGAGAACUUUGAUAUUUCAUUAAUUGCAACUCCUCCCUGCACACUGAAAAUGGAAUAUAGAUAUUUCCUGGAGGGGUGUUUAGCUUGGAGAAUCAAUUUUUAUAGGUCAGCAACCUGUUUUUUUAGCUUGGAGAAUCAAUUUUUAUAGCAUUUGCUCCCAAACUGAUAACUAGGACUUGAUAUGUAAGUAUGGUAAAAGGUUUUCCAAGGCAGGAGUGAAGCUAUUAAAGACUUCUUUGGGCACUUGGAUAGAAUUCGCCUCAAAAUAGAUACUUUUUCUUCCUUUUCUCCAAUUUAAAACUUUUCAAAAGAUAACCAAUCCAAAAAAAACUUUUCAAAAGAUAUAGAAUAUUAUAUCACAAUCUUUUUUUAUUGCAUAAGUGCAAUAGUGGUUGGUGGUAAGUUUCAUAAUAGAACCAAGUAAUAGGGUGCAUUCUUUGUGGCUUCAAUUGUGAUGGAUAAUAUUCCAAACAAACAGUAAAGCUUACUGCUCUGGCUUUGGCACCCUACUGUUGACUACAUCUGUGCUUCUUUGUAAAAGAUGUGGAUGCUUUGUGGAAAAUUAAGAAGAUAUGAUCAGAAACCAUGAAGGAACAUGUCCUUGAAAGUGGAAUUUCUUGUGCUAAGGCUUGUCGAGGUGUGGACUUAAUCAACAGUAAAGACAAGACGUGAAGACAGUCUCCAAAAAUUUCCACUUCUUUGGUCAAAUCAGGAGGAGUAUAUGAUUCAAGCAAACAAACAAAUUUUUGAAACUGCACAAUUGAAAUUAUCUUGAAAAAGUUGGCAAGCCUCCCAAAAGAAACAUGGUACACGUGAAUAGUCAAUGUGUGUAACUAAACUAAUAAAAUUUCUUACUGUAGACGUCUUUCCUUGAACUGCUGCAUAGGAAGGCAUUUGACUUUUUUUUUGAAUAAUCGAAUCCAUGACCAACUUAACCACUGUCGAGGCUCCAUUAUGGGAAAAUGAAUUUCUUGCAUUUGAAAUUUUGAUUUGGAAAAGGACUAUGAUGCAACUUAUCUAAACACCGGAGCUUUGCCACGUGACUUUUGAAUA